rnacentral:tRNA from 1 species
GCUUUAAUAGUUUAAAAAGAAUAUAGUUUUGAAGCGACUAAGGUAAUAGUAUAUUUUAAGGCA